UUCGAGCAGUUAAUUUUGUAACCUGAAACAGUUCUACUGGCAUUACUUCAGAAGGUUUUAAAGUUUUAUCGUUUUUUUUUGGAAUUUUACAGAAAAAGACCUGUAAUUUCAAGUGAAUGCAACUAACUGUGCUGCACAAAUGGCUGAUGUAAAAACAAUACCAAAAGAGGGAAUGGAAGGAUGCUAUAAUAAAUAAUUGUGUGAAUAAAUUCUACGACCUGCUGGAAAAGGGUAUUUCCUCAGUUCUUGUAUCUCCUCUGAUGAUGCCAGAUAAACCUAGUGAAAAGUUGUGACAAAAUAAACAAACGUUUUACCCUGUACAUUCAAUCAAAAUUUGUCUGAAAUAUAUAGCACA